UACAGAGGGUGCGAGCGUUAAUCGGAAUUACUGGGCGUAAAGCGUGCGUCGACUGUUUCGUAAGUCGGGUGUGAAAUCCCCGGGCUCAACCUGGGAAUUGCAUUCGAAACUGCGAGGCUAGGGUACGGAAGAGGGAAGCGGAAUUUCUGGUGUAGCGGUGAAAUGCGUAGAUAUCAGAAGGAACAUCAGUGGCGAAAGCGGCUUCCUGGUCCAGUACCGACGUUCAGGCACGAAAGCGUGGGGAGCAAACAGG
rnacentral:rRNA from 1 species